rnacentral:piRNA from 1 species
UAGCAACCUAGGAAUAAACAAGCAUGGGCAAC